CCUACGGGAGGCAGCAGUGGGGAAUAUUGCACAAUGGGGGAAACCCUGAUGCAGCGACGCCGCGUGAGUGAAGAAGUAUUUCGGUAUGUAAAGCUCUGUCAGCAGGGAAGAAAAUGACGGUACCUGACCAAGAAGCCCCGGCUAACUACGUGCCAGCAGCCGCGGUAAUACGUAGGGGGCAAGCGUUAUCCGGAUUUACUGGGUGUAAAGGGAGCGUAGACGGCAGGGCAAGUCUGGAGGGAAAGGCCGGGGCACAACCCCCGGACUGCUCUGGAAACUGCCAGGCGUGAGUGCAGGAGAGGUAAGUGGAAUUCCUAGUGUAGCGGUGAAAUGCGUAGAUAUUAGGAGGAACACCAGUGGCGAAGGCGGCUUACUGGACUGUAACUGACGUUGAGGCUCGAAAGCGUGGGGAGCAAACAGGAUUAGAUACCCUAGUAGUC
rnacentral:rRNA from 1 species